GAUGAACGCUGGCGGCGUGCCUAAUACAUGCAAGUCGAGCGAACGGACGAGAAGCUUGCUUCUCUGAUGUUAGCGGCGGACGGGUGAGUAACACGUGGAUAACCUACCUAUAAGACUGGGAUAACUUCGGGAAACCGGAGCUAAUACCGGAUAAUAUUAUGAACCGCAUGGUUCAAAAGUGGAAGACGGUCUUGCUGUCACUUAUAGAUGGAUCCGCGCUGCAUUAGCUAGUUGGUAAGGUAACGGCUUACCAAGGCAACGAUGCAUAGCCGACCUGAGAGGGUGAUCGGCCACACUGGAACUGAGACACGGUCCAGACUCCUACGGGAGGCAGCAGUAGGGAAUCUUCCGCAAUGGGCGAAAGCCUGACGGAGCAACGCCGCGUGAGUGAUGAAGGUCUUCGGAUCGUAAAACUCUGUUAUUAGGGAAGAACAUAUGUGUAAGUAACUGUGCACAUCUUGACGGUACCUAAUCAGAAAGCCACGGCUAACUACGUG
rnacentral:rRNA from 1 species